CCUACGGGUGGCUGCAGUCGAGAAUCAUUCACAAUGGGGGAAACCCUGAUGGUGCGACGCCGCGUGGGGGAAUGAAGGUCUUCGGAUUGUAAACCCCUGUCAUGUGGGAGCAAAUUAAAAAGAUAGUACCACAAGAGGAAGAGACGGCUAACUCUGUGCCAGCAGCCGCGGUAAUACAGAGGUCUCAAGCGUUGUUCGGAAUCACUGGGCGUAAGGCGUGCGUAGGCUGUUUCGUAAGUCGUGUGUGAAAGGCGCGGGCUCAACCCGCGGACGGCACAUGAUACUGGGAGACUAGAGUAAUGGAGGGGGAACCGGAAUUCGCGGUGUAGCAGUGAAAUGCGUAGAUAUCGAGAGGAACACUCGUGGCGAAGGCGGGUUCCUGGACAUUAACUGACGCUGAGGCACGAAGGCCAGGGGAGCGAAAGGGAUUAGAUACCCGUGUAGUC
rnacentral:rRNA from 1 species